GUUUCGCGACGGAAGCUUUAAGUAGGCGGAGGGUCAACGCGGGGGGCCACACGAGGGGCCCAGGGGAUAGGUCGGCGCGGCCAGGGCCUGGGCCGCGCCGGCCACCCCCCUGGCCUCCUCGUGGCCCCACUUCGUUAGGUCUUCGGUCUUCUGGAAGCUUCGUGCAAAAAUAGGACCCUGGGCGAAAGUUUCGUCCAAUUCCGAGAAUAUUUCUUUACUAGGAUUUCUGAAACCAAAAACAGCAGAAAACAGCAACUGGCUCUUCGGCAUCUUGUUAAUAGGUUAGUUCCAGAAAAUGCAUAAAUAUGACAUAUAAUGUGCAUAAAACAUGUAGGUAUCAUCAAUAAAGUAGCAUGGAACAUAAGAAAUUAUCGAUACGUUGGAGACGUAUCAGUA